rnacentral:lncRNA from 1 species
CAGGUUGGUCAGGAGAUACAGAAAAACGCCCAUGAAGCCAGAGGUGGCAAUUCACUGAAUUAGAAUCACUAAGAAUCACUCUAACGAGCUGCAAGGUAAAAUCCUUGGAGAAGGUGUGUGCCGACUUGAUCAAUGGAUCAAAGGAAAAGAAUCUAAAGUGAUAGGACCAGUUUGAAUGCCUACCAAGACUUUGAGAAACAUUACAAGAAAAACUUCUUAUGAAGGUUCUGAGACAUGGUAUUGUUUCCAGAUGAGAAUCCAUAAGUGACUCAUUGACUUCCACAGUCUUUCUGAGAUUGUUAAGCAGAUUACUUCCAUCAUUAUUGAGCCAGGAGUUGAGGUUGAAGUCACCAUUGCAGAUG